ACGGGUUCUCCUGUGCUCCCAGGCUGCGAGGCGGGGCGGUACGGAGCGAGCUGCCAGCAGCUGUGUGACUGCGAGGGACACGCACCCUGUGAUCCAGUCACUGGGCGCUGCCUGUGUCCGCCCGGGAAAACGGGCGCCCAGUGUGACGUGGCCUGCCGCCUGGAUCGCUUUGGCCCCGACUGCGCCCUGCCCUGUGACUGCGCCUCAGACAACGCUUUCUGCAACGCCCAGAACGGCCAGUGCACCUGCCUAAACGGCUACCUGGGCCCGACCUGUCGCGAAGGUGGCCCGCCUCGCCUGUUGUCCAGCGAACGACGGCGCAGCCCGCCAGACGUGGCAGCUAGAAUACCUCACCCAGUCUCUCCCAGGGGCAUUUUCCAGCCUGGGAAGCAUUAGGUCGUGCCGGCACCAUGGCUGAAGAAAAACAAGAGCAAGCUUGUAAACAAGCCCCUGGUCUUUCUGCAGAACCCGCCUUAGCUAAUUCUAACCCCAAGGCAGUUCUAUGGGCGACCAAGUACUGGGCUAGCUCCUGUCUGAAAUCCAGCCUGAAGAAAUCUGGGGCUAUCGCACGGCUCAGCUCAGCCAGGAGACCGCGAGCACGUGUGUAAAAAGGCACGCCCCUGGAUGAACUGUUGUUGGAGUCUCAUGCCCAACAAAGGACCACAGAAGCAUUUCAUUUGUACUCUAUACUAGAGAAGCAAUAGUUCAAAGGUGGUUUUUCUCCAGUGGGCAAUUACUGGAGUCUUGCAACUCGUCCUCUAAUUGUUUUUUUUUAUUGCCUGCCUGGAAUUUUAAUCAGAAUACAAUAUUUAUGUAAAGAUAUUUAUGGGAGGUGUACAAAUGUCUUUUCAUGCUCGGUAGCCAAAGAUUGGGGUGGUGCUGCAUCACUUGACUUUCAAAUUUGUGAGCACUCUUUAAUUGUCAUUUACCAUUGUCCAGGGUGCUGUAAUAAAAGAAACAUUCAAUAAGUUGGUCAUAAGAGCAUUUAAGUUCCAAAAUGUACUGUAAGUCCUGGUUCCAGAGAGGAGCAUUUGGUACUCCUGGACAACAAGGACUCUGGGAAUUGUGCAAAGUUCAUUAAAACUAACGAGACUUGACUUACACGGGACUGCUUCUUUCAGCAUCACACGAUCUAGGAAACGCAGUAGUUUGUACAUAAAAUAAAGGCUGCAGUAGCAUAGUAGAUCAGUCUUUGUAACUUCAUCUUUCAUCAAAUGAGCAACGAGUCUUUCCAAAUAAACAUCUCAAGGAGAAAUGGGUUAGUCACACCUCUGUUUGCCUGAGCAAGUUUAAUGUUAGUGAAAACAUUAUUUAUUUACAGAUGUUCUACUUUUGAAUGGAUGAUUGCUAGAACACAGUAUUAUGUUAAACCAACACGAUGUGGUACCCGGUUUGGAUUAUAAUAAAAGCUAAAGGGAA